rnacentral:rRNA from 1 species
CAGCAGCCACGGUAAUACGGAGGGUGCAAGCGUUAAUCGGAAUUACUGGGCGUAAAGCGCACGCAGGCGGUCUGACAAGUCAGAUGUGAAAUCCCCGGGCUUAACCUGGGAACUGCAUUUGAAACUGUCAGGCUGGAGUCUUGUAGAGGGGGGUGGAAUUCCAGGUGUAGCGGUGAAAUGCGUAGAGAUCUGGAGGAAUACCGGUGGCGAAGGCGGCCCCCUGGACAAAGACUGACGCUCAGGUGCGAAAGCGUGGGGAGCAAACAGGAUUAGAUACCCGGUAGUCCCUGUCUCUUAUACC